rnacentral:tRNA from 1 species
GCGUUGUUGGCUCAGAUGGACAGAGCGUUGCCCUCUGGGGGCAAAGGUCACGGGUUCGGGUCCAGUACAGCGCACCA